rnacentral:snoRNA from 1 species
GGGGGUAUACUUUCAGGGAUCAUUUCUGUAGUAUGUUCCUUAUAUUCUUUCAAACAUCUUGAGAAAUCACCUGC